AACCUCAUUGGCCGGAAGGGAUUCCUUCCGGUCAGUGAGGUAUAACAACCUCAUCGGCCGGAAGGAAUUCCUUCCGAUUGAUGAGGUG
rnacentral:miRNA from 1 species